GAUAACUGUCCGAAAGGAUAGCUAAUACCCUAUAUUGCCUUUUGUCACUAAGGCAAAAGGUGAAAGCGAGGCUGUCAAAGGCUUCGGCUCAAAGAGGGGUUCGCGUCCUAUCAGGUAGUUGGUGGGGUAAUGGCCUACCAAGCCAAUGACGGGUAGCUGGUCUUAGAGGAUGAUCAGCCACAGUGUGACUGAGACACGGCCCGCACCCCUACGGGGGGCAGCAGUGGGGAAUCGUGGGCAAUGGGCGCAAGCCUGACCCCGCAAUGCCGCGUGAGGGAAGAAGCCCUUCGGGGUGUAAACCUCUGUCAGAUGGGAAGAUGGGACCAGGGGCUAAUACCUCCUAGUCUUGACGGUACCAUCAGAGGAAGGGACGGCUAACUACGUGCCAGCAGCCGCGGUAAUACGUAGGUCCCGAGCGUUGCGCGAUGUUACUGGGCGUAAAGCGUCCGUAGCUGGUUUCGUAAGCGGAUUGUCAAAGCCCGAAGCUCAACUUCGGCAAGGCAUUCCGAACUGCGUUACUUGAGUCCUGUUCAGGUAGGCGGAAUUCCCGGUGUAGCGGUGAAAUGCGUAGAUAUCGGGAGGAACACCAGUGGCGAAGGCGGCCUACUGGGACGGUACUGACGGUCAUGGACGAAAGCUGGGGGAGCAAACCGGAUUAGAUACCCGGGUAGUCCCAGCCGUAAACGAUGGACGUUAGGUGUAGUGAUAACUUCGCUGCACCCCAGCUAACGCGUUAAACAUCCCGCCUGGGGAGUACGGGCGCAAGCCUGAAACUCAAAGGAAUUGGCGGGGGCCCGCACAACCGGUGGAGCGUCUGGUUUAAUUCGAUGCUAACCGAAAGACCUUACCAGGGUUUGAAAUGGUAGGAAAGGCUGUCGAAAGAUAGCCGUGUUUCCCUUUCGGGAGAAAUCCUACCACAGGUGGUGCAUGGCCGUCGUCAGCUCGUGUUGUGAGAUGUUGGGUUAAGUCCCGCAACGAGCGCGACCCUUGUCCUUAUUUGCUUCCUCGUAUGAGGUGCUCUAUAAGGAGACUGCCGGCGACAAGCCGGAGGAAGGAGGGGACGACGUCAGGUCAGUAUGCCCUUUAUGCCCUGGGCUACACAGGCGCUACAGUGGCAAGGACAAUGAGUAGCGAGAGUGCAAGCUCAAGCUAAUCUCACAAACCUUGUCGUGGUGU
rnacentral:rRNA from 1 species